GGUAAAAUGGCUGAGAAAGCAUUAGACUGUAAAUCUAAGGACAGGGGUAGAGUCCCCUUUUUGCCAU
rnacentral:tRNA from 1 species